rnacentral:rRNA from 1 species
UACGUAGGGUGCGAGCGUUGUCCGGAAUUAUUGGGCGUAAAGAGCUCGUAGGCGGCCUGUCGCGUCGGAUGUGAAAGCCCGGGGCUUAACCCCGGGUCUGCAUUCGAUACGGGCAGGCUAGAGUGUGGUAGGGGAGAUCGGAAUUCCUGGUGUAGCGGUGAAAUGCGCAGAUAUCAGGAGGAACACCGGUGGCGAAGGCGGCCACCUGGGCCGACCCUGACGCUGAGGCGCGAAGGCGUGGGGAGCGAACGGG